rnacentral:lncRNA from 1 species
AUGCAAUAGUUUAGAAGGUGGAGAUCACUAUAAGAGAUUGCAAAGAGAUAAAUUUGUGAAAGACUGGUUAACUGAUGACUAUUAAAGCUGACAGCUGACAUGCAGCCCUCAGCUGAGAAGACUCAUAAAUCACUGGUUGUUCAAAUGUGGUGAAAUAAACCAGAGGAAAGCCUCUACUCUGCAUCUCUCAUGGUUCCUCAGCCUCUGUUACCGACCGCUACAGAGUCUGGUUGCUUUGUUGUCCUCCCUGUGGAGCCAGUGCUGUGUGACUGACCCUAAACCAAAGUCUAUUUGCAGGGUUGAUCUUAGAGCAGAGAAGUUUUUAUCUUGUAAUGUAUAUUUCAGCUGGGCACAUUGCACUUACCACUAAUGUUGAUCUCUAGCAUCCUGGCUGUGACUUCUCCAGCCAAACUGAUGGGCUGGGCUAUGGGGGCAGGGAGGAACACCUUGGCCAUGUGAGUGCUGCCAGGGGCUUUGGGAAGGGCUGGGAAGCCCUGCAAGACAUUUUGUCUACCUGCAAACGUGGGUGAGAAGAAAGAUGGUGGGAGGGACGGGGGUUGCUGGGAGCACACAUAAAACAUCUGUGUAUUUUAAUUUCUGUUCUAUGGUGGGAAAACUUCACCUGACCUGCUUUCUUGAGAUUUGGAUUUGGAAGACUGAAAAUGGGGCAGAAGAACAUGUACAAUAAGACUGCUGUCAGGGAGGAACAAAAUACCAUUGCUCAGCCGUCUCAGGAAUAGUUUCUGUAGCAGGACAUGUGCAAGGAGAGCUAUGGCGAUUACAAGUAUAGCAGAGGAAGGGCUUGGGAUAUGCUGAUUCUUGAGGGCCACGUGGGAGUGAUUUGUACGGCUGCAAUUUGCACACUGUGGAUGGUGAAGGGUGAGAUGAACUUGAAGGAGUCCCUUUUUUGGAUAAGGUUGGUUAGGAAAAUGUCAUUAAGUUGUAACUUCUCAUCAGUUCUAGAUGCGUUUUGGGGUAUCCCUUCUGAUCGAGAUUAAAUUACAUAUGGUGUUAAAGCAGAGUCUUCUGCAACAAUGUAAAUGAGUUGUUAAC